CGAUAAAGGAACAUCAGCAAGAGAGCUACCACUCCACAGCUCCCGUACAGAGCCAGGCGGCCGCCUCGGCCUCUGCCAAGUCGCGAACCGCUCAUUCCUAUUGACAGACACCGUGUCGUCAAGAAGCAAAAUUGGAUAAUGGAAUUUUCGAAUACCAAAACGGAAAUCAUCAAUCGUCAGAAACAAAAUCAGCACGAGGAGAGGAAAAGCGGGGAGAAGAUGCAGCGGGGUAGUUAGCUACUUAGCAGCUGGAUUCGAGUUCACUGACAUUUCGGAGCACGCGCGAUGCGAGUCUUGUUUCGUUUACGGCGACGACGACGGAGACGACAAACGGCGAUGCACGUGUACCGUACGCGCGGAAACGUGACGCCCGCUCGAAAGCCGAUUCUGCCCGGCUCUCUGCAUGCCUCUGGUUUUGGCAUCCCGCCACACGUCGAGUACUCACAGAAUAAUGAAUCUUUGAUUACAUACACAGGGUAAUCUGGCAGAAAAUACAAAUAUCUUCUCCGUGGUUUCCAGAGAUAACUCUUAACAAAAGAAGAAAAUAUCGCAUCACAAUUCUAUUCGAAUUCUGUAUGUUUAUCGAAAACGAAUAUUUCAACAAUAUAAUCGGUUAAAGAAUAAUGAGCGACAAAUCAAUCCACGUCAAUUAAUCAUUAAAUUAAAUACAUAUGUAAUUUACACUAUAAAAUGUAAAUAUGCCACUAAUAUUCUUUGUACAACAGCUACGGAAAUAUUGCGACUCCAAACACUGCAAGCAAAUAUCACCCAUGUUUAUCCAUCCAUACUAUAAACUGUUGACAUUAUUGUCGCUGUUGACACUGUAAUGCUGAAUCAACAGCUAAAUGUUUAUUGAGGAAUUAUCAAAUACAAUCGCAUCAUAUUGUGACUAUUUGUAAUAGUUGAUUACAAUGCGAAAGAGAUUUGUAGUUAAGACACCCAUUGUUGAUUUCUGAAAAUCAAAUGGAGGUACAUAUUUAAUCCAAAAUCUAUAAUUCAUUGACAAAACAGUUAUAUUUUUUCCCGAAUAUCUCUAUUUAAGUAGCAAUAAAUAAUGCAAUAAAUAAUGCAUUGUUAGAAGCAUGUACGAUUCUUUGCGGCAACAAAAGAAGCGAAAUCUUUUUUUUACUGGCAGAACAGAGUUCAUUUAUUCAUCGACUGUCGCAAUAGUAAUUUUCAAAGUCGUCUUAAUAUCCGUAAGAAAUACCAUUUAUAACUGACACAAGCGGUUUUGUUUACAUGGAGCAUACUUCUGACGUGCAAUGCUAUUUAUCUCUUUUUUUCCCUGUAAUUCCUGGCAAAAUAACGUGCUUUUCCUUACCUAUGCAAUUAAGAAUUAUCUUGUAUACGUCAAUUAGAUACUUACAUUAAAUCCAUUCACGUCACAUGCAUCAUGUACAUUACUCUACACUUUUAACUUUUUUAAACUUUUUUGUCGAUUCGCUCCAUUAAAUCUACAAAGUAUAAAAACUAAGGACAGACUUAUCGAUAUAACAUUACUAUAUCGUGAGUGGAUUAAUCUUCAAAAUAGUUUCUCUUAAUUCUAUGAUGCAGUUUCGUAACGAGAGUAUUAGUACCUAAAGUAAAUUUUUUUACAAAACCUAAAAAUAAAUUUAUUUAUUAUUUAUUAUUUAUUUCGGAAAUGGGAAACUGUAAAACUGUUAAUUCCGUAUUUGAGAAGCAGAUAGUUUAGUUCAAAAUUUACCUAAAAAAAGAAAUCGAACACAUUUUUAAAGCAUAAAAGGUUCAAUAUUAUGACAGUGUUUAAAAGACACUUUUUUUUUAAUUAAAAGACUAAAGAGUUCUUCAGUUCAUAAAUCUAUUUGUUAGCAAUUAAAAUAUCGGCAGUUCUUCAAUAAUUAUUCCAAUAAUACUCUUCGCAACGAUAAUAUUGAUAUCUU